CCUACGGGGGGCAGCAGUGUGGAAUAUUGGACAAUGGGCGAAAGCCUGAUCCAGCCAUGCCGCGUGUGUGAAGAAGGCCUUCGGGUUGUAAAGCACUUUCAGUGGGGAAGAAAGCCUUGGGGCUAAUACCCUCGAGGAAGGACAUCACCCACAGAAGAAGCACCGGCUAACUCCGUGCCAGCAGCCGCGGUAAUACGGAGGGUGCGAGCGUUAAUCGGAAUUACUGGGCGUAAAGCGCGCGUAGGCGGUCUGAUAAGCCGGUUGUGAAAGCCCCGGGCUCAACCUGGGAACGGCAUCCGGAACUGUCAGGCUAGAGUGCAGGAGAGGAAGGUAGAAUUCCCGGUGUAGCGGUGAAAUGCGUAGAGAUCGGGAGGAAUACCAGUGGCGAAGGCGGCCUUCUGGACUGACACUGACGCUGAGGUGCGAAAGCGUGGGUAGCAAACAGGAUUAGAUACCCUAGUAGUC
rnacentral:rRNA from 1 species